rnacentral:rRNA from 1 species
AGUGAACGCUGGCGGUAGGCCUAACACAUGCAAGUCGAACGGCAGCACAGUAAGAGCUUGCUCUUACGGGUGGCGAGUGGCGGACGGGUGAGGAAUACAUCGGAAUCUACUUUUUCGUGGGGGAUAACGUAGGGAAACUUACGCUAAUACCGCAUACGACCUACGGGUGAAAGCAGGGGAUCUUCGGACCUUGCGCGAUUGAAUGAGCCGAUGUCGGAUUCGCUAGUUGGCGGGGUAAAGGCCCACCAAGGCGACGAUCCGUAGCGGGUCUGAGCGGAUGGUCAGCCAGACUGGAACUGAGACAGGGUCCAGACUCCUACGGGAGGCAGCAGUGGGGAAUAUUGGACGAUGGGCGCGAGCCUGAUCCAGCCAUACCGCGUGGGUGAAGAAGGCCUUCGGGUUGGAGAGCCCUUUUGUUGGGAAAGAAAAGCAGCAGGUUAAUACCCCGCUGUUCUGACGGUACCCAAAGAAUAAGCACCGGCUAACUUCGUG